GACGAACGCUGGCGGCGUGCUUAACACAUGCAAGUCGAACGGAAAGGCCCUGCUUUUGUGGGGUGCUCGAGUGGCGAACGGGUGAGUAACACGUGAGUAACCUGCCCUUGACUUUGGGAUAACUUCAGGAAACUGGGGCUAAUACCGGAUAGGAGCUCCUGCUGCAUGGUGGGGGUUGGAAAGUUUCGGCGGUUGGGGAUGGACUCGCGGCUUAUCAGCUUGUUGGUGGGGUAGUGGCUUACCAAGGCUUUGACGGGUAGCCGGCCUGUGAGGGUGACCGGCCACAUUGGGACUGAGAUACGGCCCAGACGCCUACGGGAGGCAGCAGUGGGGAAUAUUGCACAAUGGGCGGAAGCCUGAUGCAGCAACGCCGCGUGCGGGAUGACGGCCUUCGGGUUGUAAACCGCUUUCGCCUGUGACGAAGCGUGAGUGACGGUAAUGGGUAAAGAAGCACCGGCUAACUACGUG
rnacentral:rRNA from 1 species